AUUGAACGCUGGCGGCAUGCCUUACACAUGCAAGUCGAACGGUAACAGGUUAAGCUGACGAGUGGCGAACGGGUGAGUAAUGUAUCGGAACCUGCCCAGUCGUCUGGGAUAACUGCUCGAAAGAGCAGCUAAUACCGCAUACGACCUGAGGGUGAAAGCUGGGGAUCGCAAGACCUCGCGCGAUUGGAGCGGCCGAUAUCCGAUUAGGUAGUUGGUGAGGUAAAGGCUCACCAAGCCGACGAUCUGUAGCUGGUCUGAGAGGACGACCAGCCACACUGGGACUGAGACACGGCCCAGACUCCUACGGGAGGCAGCAGUGGGGAAUUUUGGACAAUGGGCGAAAGCCUGAUCCAGCAACGCCGCGUGCGGGAAGAAGGCCUUCGGGUUGUAAACCGCUUUUGUCAGGGAAGAAAAGGUUCUGGCUAAUACAUGGGACUCAUGACGGUACCUGAAGAAUAAGCAACGGCUAACUACGUG
rnacentral:rRNA from 1 species